ACACAACUUUAAAUGCUGAGAAAAAUAGCAGAAUUUGUAAAUGGGGAAGACUGUGACAAAUAUUUAGUCUUCCAUGAUUGUAAGGGGCUGAAAGUCUGAAAGUAGGUGAAGAAUACAAACGACAAGGGCUAUAUGAUGGGUAGCCCAUGGCUUAAGCCUCAAAAAAAAAUUUUUCCAGAGGCUCAAGAGGAUGGGAGAGGAGCGGUCUGCAAGCAGCAGUAGGAGCAAGACCUUGAGACGUAUCCAUCAAUGCUACGAGAGAUUCUGCUUUGGAGAUCAACAUGCUGUAUAUCACAAUAAUGAUGGGACUCACGGCAUGGGGGAUGGACAGAGGAGCUUUCUCCUAGGGUGGUAUUUCUGGAAUUUCUAGUGUCAGGUGCUACUUAAUAUCUCUCACAAGAAAAGAAGAAAUCCCUCUGCCUUUUAAUGUUCUGGGAAUAGAAAGAAUAAAGGAGACAGAGGUGAACCCACCAAGGAGUAUAGCAAUUUCUACUUGUCUCCUUAAUAGUCCAACACUUCACUCACACAACGUUACGUAGUUUCAUCAAAUGAUGAGUCCAGCCCCUUUCUUCUGCAGAAAAUGUCAGUUCACUGCUCCUUGCCUACAAAAUAGAAAUUGAGAGAUACCAGCUUUUCUAGCCAGACUACAAAAUUACUUUGACUAAAUCGCUAAAAAUUCAGCCUCACUACCAGUUUCCACAAUACCUAUCAAAUGGUAACUUCAAGCUCUGUUUGUACUUUUCAGGAAUCCAAUGAGCAAACAAUU
rnacentral:lncRNA from 1 species